CUUGUUUUCAUGCAGUUCUGGUCCACAGGAUCUGCGAUGAAGGGAGAUCACUUACAAGGCAGUGACUGGAGGCUGAGCCAGCCUCUCUGCAUGGCGUGUGGAUGUGGCUUCCUCAUGUCACCCUCCCUCCGCAUGGGCUGAGUUCACAUGUUCUCACAUUGACCUCAGUCAUCCUGCAGGGCCAACCCUAAUGCUGCUGUUAGCAUGUUACAUGGUCACACUCAGAGCUGAACCCCUGCAUCAGCCUAGCCCCAGGCUCUCUGGAUUCUGUGCCAGCCAAUCUGUGCCAAGUGCUGAUGGAGGGCAAGGCACAGGCCCCCACUGAAGAGAAGUGAGACCAUGUAUUGGCUUUCUUUUCAACUCUUUACGGAUGACUUCCUAGGAAGCCAGAACCUCCACAAAGCAGUCCUUUGAGCUAAAAACUCAUUUUCUUUCAAUGGCAAGUAGUUUUCAUUAACUGAUUUUAAGUUACUGUUAUGACAAUUGCUAUGAGGUUUUCCGUUGAAUAGCCUGAACUCUAACUCAUAAGUUAGGAGAUGUAUUUCAAGAACUCUUCUAAGAUCAUGAU
rnacentral:lncRNA from 1 species